GAUUUUUAUUUAACGGCCGCGGUAUCCUAACCGUGCAAAGGUAGCGCAAUCACUUGUCCUUUAAAUAGGGACCUGUAUGAAUGGCAUAACGAGGGCUUAACUGUCUCCUCCCUCUAGUCAAUGAAAUUGAUCUCCCCGUGCAGAAGCGGGGCAUAAAAAUAUAAGACGAGAAGACCCUGUGGAGCUUUAGACAAUAAAUAAACUUUGUUAAAAAACCUAACAUAAUAAGCCUAAACAAUAAGAACUUAUUUUGAACUGUCUUCGGUUGGGGCGACCGCGGGGAAACAACAAACCCCCAUGUAGAAUAAGAGCUACGCUCUUUAAACUUAGAGUGACAACUCAAAGGAAUAAAAACUUUAACUAAAAAUGAUCCGGCAAAGCCGAUUAACGAAUCCAGUUACCCCAGGGAUAACAGCGCUAUCCUUUCCUAGAGUCCCUAUCGACGAAAGGGUUUACGACCUCGAUGUUGGAUCAGGACAUCCUAAUGGUGCAGCCGCUAUUAAGGGUUUGUUUGUUCAACAAUUAAAGUCCUACGUGAUC
rnacentral:rRNA from 1 species